rnacentral:rRNA from 1 species
CCUUAGAGUUUGAUCCUGGCUCAGAACGAACGCUGGCGGCAGGCUUAACACAUGCAAGUCGAACGCCCCUUUCGGGGGGAGUGGCAGACGGGUGAGUAACACGUGGGAACGUACCUCUUUGUUCGGAAUAACUCAUGGAAACGUGAGCUAAUACCGGAUACGCCCUUUUGGGGAAAGAUUUAUCGCAGAGAGAUCGGCCCGCGUCUGAUUAGCUAGUUGGUGAGGUAAUGGCUCACCAAGGCGACGAUCAGUAGCUGGUCUGAGAGGAUGAUCAGCCACACUGGGACUGAGACACGGCCCAGACUCCUACGGGAGGCAGCAGUGGGGAAUAUUGGACAAUGGGGGCAACCCUGAUCCAGCCAUGCCGCGUGAGUGAUGAAGGCCUUAGGGUUGUAAAGCUCUUUUAUCCGGGAAGAUAAUGACUGUACCGGAAGAAUAAGCCCCGGCUAACUUCGUGCCAGCAGCCGCGGUAAUACGAAGGGGGCUAGCGUUGUUCGGAAUCACUGGGCGUAAAGGGCGCGUAGGCGGACGAUUAAGUCAGGGGUGAAAUCCCGGGGCUCAACCUCGGAAUUGCCCUUGAUACUGGUUGUCUUGAGAUUGGAAGAGGUAAGUGGAAUUGCGAGUGUAGAGGUGAAAUUCGUAGAUAUUCGCAAGAACACCGGUGGCGAAGGCGACUUACUGGUCCAUAUCUGACGCUGAGGCGCGAAAGCGUGGGGAGCAAACAGGAUUAGAUACCCUGGUAGUCCACGCCGUAAACGAUGGAUGCCAGCUGUUGGGGAGCAUGCUCUUCAGUGGCGCAGUCAACACAUUAAGCAUCCCGCCUGGGGGAGUACGGGCCGCAAGAAUUAAACUCCAAAGGGAAUUGACCGGGGGCCCGCCCCAAGCGGUGGAGCAUGGUGGUUUAAAUUCGAAGCAACGCGCAAAAACCUUACCGCUCUUGACAUCCCGGGGUACCUGGAAAAAUUUCUGGUUCCCUUCGGGAACCCGGAAAACGGGGCCGCCUGG